CCAAAGGCUCUUUUCAGAGCCACCUACAGUCUCGAAAAGGAGCUG
rfam:Mesitornis unicolor contig94308, whole genome shotgun sequence.